rnacentral:lncRNA from 1 species
AUUCCGUCGACUGCUAUAUAUACUGUUGAUAAAAUUAUAUCAAAACUUAUGUAGACGAAACACGCGUCUGGCGUACUAAAUUAUAAUCCUGGUACCUUUGAUAAAUAUUGAUAAAUUGAGGUUGACAGUUUAAUCGACUUUUUGAUGACAUGUAAGGUUUAAUUGUACUUGAGGUCAUAUGCGGAAUCUAUUUCCCCAAUUUCAAAUAUCAAUUGGUCCCCUUACACUAGGCCUAUACAUCCUGAACAUUCAUUUUUUUCUAAUGUCGAGCAGCAAAAAAUGACCCAAGGCUAGCAGAACAUGUUGAGCACUGCAAAAAAAAAAAAAAAAAAAAUAAAAUAACAAAAAGAAAAAAAAAGAAAAAGAAACAUCAAAGUAGAUAAAGUCAAUCAGUCCUCAUAAUAAGAAGUAUCAGUAUAAUAAGGGGAUACAAUAACUAUUUAAAUCAUGAAAGAUGCGAUUUGUUUGGCAUUCUAUUGCCCUCAAUAAGUUCAGAGGUGUUUUAUGUAUCUGUUCCUCAAAUAAUGCUAGUUUUAAAUGUACAAAUUUGUGGACUCUACAUAGGAUUUCAGUUAUGGUGAAUUAAGUAUUCGAACAUCAAUGUAAAGUACAAGUCUUUUAAAUUUUGAAAAGGGAGAUUCCUUAUCUAUCUGAUUAUAUAAACAAAUUAACUACAACUACAACUUAUACGUAUUUUUAAAUAAUAUGAGCAUAAAAGAAAUAUAUAACAAGGAGGGAUGCAAAUACUUGAUCAAUCCAGAACGGAAAAACAACCCAUGAAACAUCAGAC